GCCUACGGGGGGCAGCAGUGAGGAAUAUUGGUCAAUGGGCGGGAGCCUGAACCAGCCAAGUCGCGUGAGGGAAGACGGUCCUAUGGAUUGUAAACCUCUUUAGGCGGGGGGCAAUGCCGGGCACGUGUGCCCGGAGGGAGAGUACCCGCAGAAUAAGCAUCGGCUAACUCCGUGCCAGCAGCCGCGGUAAUACGGAGGAUGCGAGCGUUAUCCGGAUUUAUUGGGUUUAAAGGGUGCGUAGGCGGAUUUUUAAGUCAGCGGUAAAAUGUCCGGGCUCAACCCGGCCCGGCCGUUGAAACUGGGGG
rnacentral:rRNA from 1 species